rnacentral:rRNA from 1 species
AAAUCGUUGAAGUGGAACCGGAGAGAGUUGACGUAGUAUGGUGGAUAAGUAUUGCAAGAAUCGCUUCAAACAAUGAAUGUGAUCGAGUAAUAUGUACGUCACCAAAGACUGCGCUGACAGCAUCGACUACACGCUCUGAACUGUGUUGACAUGUUGCCUAUUCUAGUAUAUAGAAUGGUGUCUUGUGUUACGUGGUGAAGUUUGUUGUUAUGUUGUUGAUGUUGAUAAKUAUGAUUAUACACCAAGUAUAAUUAUGUCAGUGUAAAAGUCAACCACCUCUCCGACCCGUCUUGAAACACGGACCGAGGAGUGUAACUUGUACGCGAGUCAUUGGGUGGAAAAACCUUAAGGCGAAACGAAAGUGAAGGCACGGUUAACCGGCUGACAUGGGAAACGUGCGGUAUUGUUAGCGAGACGUUACACCAUGGCCCUGUCUUGUCUGCAUGCAGAUGGGCAGCGGUAGAGCGUACAGGUUGCGACCCGAAAGAUGGUGAACUAUGCCUGAGCAGGACGAAGUCAGAGGAAACUCUGGUGGAAGUCCGUAUCGGUUCUGACGUGCAAAUCGAUCGAUAGA